rnacentral:rRNA from 1 species
AACGAACGCUGGCGGCAUGCCUAACACAUGCAAGUCGAACGAGAUCUUCGGGUCUAGUGGCGCACGGGUGCGUAACGCGUGGGAAUCUGCCCUUUGGUUCGGAAUAACAGUUGGAAACGACUGCUAAUACCGGAUGAUGACGAAAGUCCAAAGAUUUAUCGCCAGAGGAUGAGCCCGCGUAGGAUUAGCUAGUUGGUGUGGUAAAGGCGCACCAAGGCGACGAUCCUUAGCUGGACUGAGAGGAUGAUCAGCCACACUGGGACGGAGCCACGGCCCAGACUACUACGGGAGGCAGCAGUGGGGAAUAUUGGACAAUGGGCGAAAGCCUGAUCCAGCAAUGCCGCGUGAGUGAUGAAGGCCUUAGGGUUGUAAAGCUCUUUUACCCGGGAUGAUAAUGACAGUACCGGGAGAAUAAGCUCCGGCUAACUCCGUGCCAGCCGCCGCCGUAA